UACAGAGGGUGCAAGCGUUGCUCGGAAUUAUUGGGCGUAAAGGGUAGGUAGGUGGUCUCAUUUGUCUAGGGUGAAAGCCUGGGGCUUAACCCCAGAAGUGCCCUAGAAACGGUGAGACUGGAGUACUGGAGAGGGUCGUGGAAUUCCCGGUGUAGCGGUGAAAUGCGUAGAUAUCUGAAGGAACACCAAUGGCGAAGGCAGCUCGCUGGGACGUGACUGACGCUGAGACGCGAAAGCGUGGGGAGCAAACAGG
rnacentral:rRNA from 1 species